rnacentral:lncRNA from 1 species
UUUGAGGGAAAAAUAUUUUUUAAAAAAAACUUUUGUUGGAUUUUGGAGUAACUGAUUGACAGAAAGGGCCUGGAGAAUUGAGUGAUAAGCAAUUUUGUUUUAUAUAUAAAAAACACUUUGUACGUACCCCCAAAAUAAUACUAUUAUAUAACAACAACUACUUCGAAAAUGUUUCAAAAAAAAAAAACAACUACUUUGAAAAGAAAAGAGAAUGUUUAUAUGGAGAAACCAAAAGAGUGGUUCGACUGAAAACGC